rnacentral:misc_RNA from 1 species
GAUGAAGAACGUAGCGAAAUGCGAUAAGUAAUGUGAAUUGCAGAAUUCAGUGAAUCAUCGAAUCUUUGAACGCACAUUGCGCCCGCCAGUAUUCUGGCGGGCAUGCCUGUCUGAGCGUCAUUUCAACCCUCAUGCCCCUAGGGCGUGGUGUUGGGGAUCGGCCAAAGCCCGCGAGGGACGGCCGGCCCCUAAAUCUAGUGGCGGACCCGUCGUGGCCUCCUCUGCGAAGUAGUGAUAUUCCGCAUCGGAGAGCGAUGAGCCCCUGCCGUUAAACCCCCAACUUUCCAAGGUUGACCUCUGAUCAGGUAGGAAUACCCGCUGAACUUAAGCAUAUCAAUAAGCGAGGA